UGAUUGGUCACUUUCUGUGUGAGUGUUGACAUGUCAACCUGUGAUUGGUCACUCUCUGUGUGGGUGUUGACAUGUCACCUGUGAUUGGUCACUCUGUGUGUGUGUUGACAGUGUCAUACUGUGAUUGGCCACUCUAUGUGUGGGUGUUGACAGUGUCACACUGUGAUUGGCCACUCUCUGUGUGGGUGUUGACAGUGUCACACUGUGAUUGGUCACUCUCUGUGUGGGUGUUGACAGUGUCACCCUGUGAUUGGUCACUCUCUGUGUGGGUGUUGACAGUGUCACACUGUGAUUGGUCACUCUCUGUGUGGGUGUUGACAGUGUCACACUGUGAUUGGUCACUCUCUGUGUGGGUGUUGACAGUGUCAUACUGUGAGGGACUGUAGGCAGUUAGCAGUGCCCAGUCGGGGUCAUGUCAUAAAUAAUAAUGAGGGAGAUUGGGAUUUGUGUUUCUGUUUUAAAGGAGUUGAACAUUUCUUUCACAACACAUGGGUCCCUUAAUGUUCUGAGUCCAGUUCCAGAAGCAACAGACUGAUACAACUAUUUUAACUCCCUUACUUUAACGUAGACCUAUGCUGGUCUCAGCACUAAAAUACCUUUGUACUUCCAUCUCAGUGUGUGUGAUGACCCAACGAAUCUUUAGGAAACCACUUGUACUUAGGGCUUUGAGCACUUUUUGUGUUAAUAUGUUGCUCAUUCUGUCUCUUAUUGACAUAGUUGAAUAAUUAGAAAUAGUUUUCUGUGUAUGAUAAAAAUAUGCGAGUGGAACAUUUCUACUGUUCAUAUUUCAUCAUAAACUGCCUUGUUUUUCCACGUAUGUUAGAGAGAUGGACGUGAUGUUAGUCCCAUAGACAUAAAGUGUGAAGGGAGAUAAUCAUGCACAACUACACAAUGUGAUACAGUGCCUCCACAAAGCAUAUCAUUGCACCUGUAAAUCUAACUUGAAUGACACCAUUAGUGGCGUGAUGGCUUUGUGGAAUCAGGUACCGCUUCACAGUAGACAUUUUGAACUAUUUUUACAUGUCGCAGAGAAAAUGUCUACUUAAAUUUUUAUCAUGCGAAAUAAAUUAUAUUUGAAA